rnacentral:rRNA from 1 species
ACCCUUUAAUGUUUGAUGUUCUAACGUGGACCCGUGAUCCGGGUUGCGGACAGUGUCUGGUGGGUAGUUUGACUGGGGCGGUCUCCUCCUAAAGAGUAACGGAGGAGCACGAAGGUUGGCUAAUCCUGGUCGGACAUCAGGAGGUUAGUGCAAUGGCAUAAGCCAGCUUGACUGCGAGCGUGACGGCGCGAGCAGGUGCGAAAGCAGGUCAUAGUGAUCCGGUGGUUCUGAAUGGAAGGGCCAUCGCUCAACGGAUAAAAGGUACUCCGGGGAUAACAGGCUGAUACCGCCCAAGAGUUCAUAUCGACGGCGGUGUUUGGCACCUCGAUGUCGGCUCAUCACAUCCUGGGGCUGAAGUAGGUCCCAAGGGUAUGGCUGUUCGCCAUUUAAAGUGGUACGCGAGCUGGGUUUAGAACGUCGUGAGACAGUUCGGUCCCUAUCUGCCGUGGGCGCUGGAGAACUGAGGGGGGCUGCUCCUAGUACGAGAGGACCGGAGUGGACGCAUCACUGGUGUUCGGGUUGUCAUGCCAAUGGCACUGCCCGGUAGCUAAAUGCGGAAGAGAUAAGUGCUGAAAGCAUCUAAGCACGAAACUUGCCCCGAGAUGAGUUCUCCCUGAGACUUAAAGUCUCCUGAAGGAACGUUGAAGACGACGACGUUGAUAGGCCGGGUGUGUAAGCGCAGC